AUGACAAGAAUUUUGACAGCUUGCAAAGUGGUGAAGACUUUGAAAGGCAGAUCAGAGUUUUGCAAAGUGUCUGCUGAUCACUGGAGUUUCUGGAGGAGUGGUACCAGGUUGUUGAGCGUCAAGGCGCAGACAGCGAACUUGGUGCUGGAAGAUGGAACGAAGAUGAAAGGCUAUUCUUUUGGCUAUCCAUCCUCCACAGCAGGGGAAGUCGUAUUCAACACUGGUAUUUCUGGAUACACGGAAGCCUUGACAGACCCCAGCUACAAAGGGCAGAUUCUUACACUGGCUAAUCCCAUUGUUGGGAAUGGUGGAGUGCCUGACACGACUGCUCUGGAUGAAAUAGGCCUCAGGAGGUUUCUGGAGUCUGAUGGAAUCAAGGUUUCAGGUUUGCUGGUGCUGGAUUACAGCAAUGAGUACAGUCACUGGCAGGCUGCGAGGAGUCUAGGGGAAUGGUUGCAGGAAGAAAAGGUGCCUGCUCUGUAUGGGAUUGAUACCAGAAUGCUGUCUAAAUUAAUUCGUGACAAGGGCACAGUACUUGGGAAGAUUGAAUUUGAAGGUCAGCCCACAGAGUUUGCAGACCCAAAUAAGCAGAACUUAAUUGCAGAAGUUUCAACAAAGGAAGUCAAGGUAUAUGGCAAAGGGAACCCAAUUAAAAUUGUAGCAAUUGACUGUGGGUUGAAGAACAACGUUAUCCGUCUGCUGGUAAAGCAAGGUGCAGAAGUACAUUUAGUUCCAUGGAACCAUGAUUUUACCAGGAUGGAGUAUGAUGGGCUCGUAAUUUCUGGAGGUCCAGGAGAUCCCAUGAAGGCUCAGGAAGUGAUUCAGAAUGUCAGAAAGGUCCUGGAGAGCAGUCGCCCAGAGCCUUUGUUUGGAAUUGGCAUGGGGAAUCUAAUCACUGGAAUAGCAGCUGGAGCUACUUCCUACAAGAUGCAGAUGGCCAACAGAGGACAGAACCAGCCUGUCCUGAAUGCAGUGAAUGGACAAGCUGUCAUCACUACUCAGAAUCAUGCUUAUGCUAUUGACAGCUCUACCCUCCCACCUGGCUGGAAGCCUCUCUUUGUGAAUGCCAAUGAUCAAACAAAUGAGGGAAUUAUGCAUGAGACCAGACCAAUUUUCACAGCACAGUUCUACCCAGAUGCAAAUCCUGGGCCGACAGACACAGAGUUCCUGUUUGAUUCAUUUAUCUCACUGAUUAAGAGAGGGAAAGGCACUACCAUUGCUUCGGUCCUGCCCAAGGCUGGAGCAACAGCUUCUAGAUUGGAGGUCUCCAAAGUUCUCAUUCUAGGAUCUGGGGGUCUGUCGAUCGGUCAGGCAGGGGAAUUUGAUUACUCUGGAUCUCAGGCUGUGAAAGCUCUGAAGGAAGAAAAUGUAAAAAUUGUCCUCAUGAAUCCCAACAUUGCUUCAGUGCAGACCAAUGAGACCGGCUUAAAGCAGGCUGAUGCUGUGUAUUUCCUUCCCAUCACUCCACGGUUUGUCACAGAGGUCAUCAAGGCAGAGCAUCCUGAUGGAUUAAUUCUGGGCAUGGGUGGCCAAACAGCUCUCAACUGUGGAGUGGAGCUCUUCAAGCAAGGAGUCCUGCAGCAGUACGGUGUGAAGGUCCUAGGUACAUCAGUUGAAUCCAUCAUGGCUACAGAGGAUAGAAAGCUUUUUUCUGAUAAACUGAUGGAGCUAAAUGAAAAGAUUGCUCCUAGCUUUGCAGUGGAAUCGAUUGAAGAUGCUUUGGAGGCAGCUGAGAAAAUCAGCUAUCCGGUCAUGAUACGUUCUGCUUAUGCCCUUGGUGGUUUGGGGUCAGGUUUAUGCACUGACAAGGAAAGUUUGUUGGACCUUGGAACAAAGGCGUUUGCAAUGACUAAACAAAUUCUUGUGGAAAAGUCAGUUGUGGGCUGGAAGGAGAUAGAAUACGAAGUUGUGAGAGAUGCUGCUGAUAAUUGUAUUGCAGUCUGCAAUAUGGAAAACAUAGAUGCGAUGGGAGUCCACACAGGGGAUUCUGUCGUAGUGGCUCCGAGCCAGACACUCACUAAUGAGGAAUUUCAGAUGCUGAGGGAUCGUGCCAUCAAGGUUGUCCGAUAUUUGGACAUUGUGGGAGAAUGUAAUAUCCAGUUUGCUCUGCAUCCAACUUCCCUGGAAUACUACAUCAUUGAAGUUAAUGCCAGACUUUCGAGAAGUUCAGCUUUGGCAUCCAAGGCAACAGGGUAUCCAUUAGCGUUCAUUGCUGCCAAAAUUGCCUUGGGGAUCCCAUUACCAGAGAUCAAGAAUGUAGUGACAGGAAAAACUUCAGCCUACUUUGAGCCCAGCCUGGAUUAUGUUGUUACCAAAAUACCCCGCUGGGAUCUGGACCGUUUUCAGGGAGCCUCCAACCGGAUUGGGAGCUCCAUGAAGAGCGUGGGAGAGGUCAUGGCUAUUGGCCGCACUUUUGAAGAGAGCUUCCAGAAGGCCCUGAGAAUGUGCCACCCCUCUAUAGAUGGCUUCACUUCACAUCUGCCCAUGAACAAAGCCUGGCCAGCCAUCGCAGAUAUCCAGAAAGAGCUCUCUGAACCAUCCAGCACUCGAAUAUAUGCAAUGGCCAAGGCCUUGGAAAAGGGAGUCCCUGUGGAUGUCAUUCACAAGCUCACGGCCAUUGACAAAUGGUUCCUGUGUAAGAUGCGCAGCAUUGUGAACAUGGAGAAGAUCCUGAAGGAAGUGAAGCAUACCGGUGAAGAAAUUCCAGAAGAGAUGCUGAGGAAGGCCAAACAGAUGGGCUUCUCAGACAGACAGAUUGGGAAAUGCCUGGGACUGACUGAAGUCCAGUGCCGCCAGCUGAGAAUGAGGAAGAAUGUAGUGCCCUGGGUGAAAAAGAUUGACACACUGGCAGCAGAAUACCCAGCGGUAACUAAUUACCUUUACGUCACGUACAACGGCCAGGAACACGAUGUAAAAUUUGAUGACUGUGGAGUGAUGGUGUUGGGCUGUGGACCAUAUCACAUAGGCAGCAGUGUGGAGUUUGAUUGGUGUGCUGUCUCCAGUAUCCGCACGCUGCGUCAGCUUGGCAACAAAACGGUCGUGGUGAAUUGCAACCCGGAGACGGUGAGCACAGAUUUUGAUGAGUGUGACAGACUGUACUUUGAGGAGAUGUCAUUGGAAAGGAUUCUGGACAUCUACCAGUACGAGAGAUGUAGUGGCUGCAUUAUUUCUGUGGGCGGGCAGAUUCCCAAUAACUUGGCAGUGCCACUACACCAGAGUGGAGUGAAGAUCCUUGGCACACAUCCUUUGCAGAUCAACCAGGCAGAAGAUCGCUCCAUUUUCUCAGCUGUUCUGGAUGAGCUGCGUGUGGCUCAAGCUCCCUGGAAGGCAGUCAGCACUCUGAGAGAUGCAGUUGAAUUUGCAGGCUCUGUGAGUUACCCAUGUUUGCUGAGGCCUUCCUAUGUUCUAAGUGGGUCUGCAAUGAAUGUAGUAUUCAGUGAAGAGGAAAUGAAAAAGUUCUUAGUGGAAGCCACCAGAGUUUCUCAGGAUCACCCUGUGGUACUCACUAAAUUUAUUGAAGAUGCCCGCGAGGUGGAAAUGGAUGCUGUAGCCAAGGCAGGAAGAGUUAUUGCACAUGCUGUUUCAGAGCAUGUGGAGGAUGCAGGCGUUCACUCCGGAGAUGCCACUCUCAUGUUACCCACACAGACUAUUAGCCAGGGAGCCUUGGAAAAGGUAAAAUCUGCUACAAGAAAGAUUGCAAAUGCCUUUGCCAUCUCUGGUCCAUUCAACGUGCAGUUCUUGGUGCGAGGCAACAACGUGCUGGUAAUAGAGUGCAACUUGCGGGCUUCACGCUCCUUCCCUUUUGUAUCCAAGACUCUGGGUGUGGACUUCAUUGAUGUGGCCACAAAAGUGAUGAUUGGAAAAGAGGUUAAUGAAUCAUCCCUCCCAACACUGGAGCAUCCCGUUAUUCCGUCCAAAUACAUUGGGAUUAAGGCCCCAAUGUUUUCCUGGUCCCGGCUGAGAGAUGCUGAUCCUGUUCUCCGAUGUGAAAUGGCCUCUACUGGGGAGGUUGCGUGCUUUGGAGAAGAUGUAUACUCUGCCUUCCAGAAAGCUAUGCUUGCCACUGGAUUUACAUUUCCUAAGCAAGGAAUUUUGAUUGGAAUCCAGAAAUCCUUCCGCUCCAAGUUCCUCUUUGUAGCAGAACUACUGCAUGGGGAAGGCUUCCAGCUUUAUGCCACUGAAGCAACCUCUGACUGGCUCAAUGCAAAUGGUAUCCCUGCAAAUCCUGUGGCAUGGCCAUCACAGGAAAGCCUGAGUCCCAGCCUUCCUCCGAUCAGGAGGCUGAUAAGGGAUGGGAAAAUAGAUCUGGUGAUUAACCUGCCUAACAGCAACACCAAGUUUGUCCAUGAUAAUUAUGUGAUCCGGAGGAUGGCUAUUGACAGUGGGAUUGCUCUACUCACUAAUUUCCAGGAAUUGAAUGCUCUCUACUGAUAUAAGACCAGGACUCCUUGUGACUGUGGUGGAACUGGCUGCUCCCCUGUAGGACAGCCACUGUCACUCCCACCAGGGAAAACAUCAGCACAGAAAAUAAGGAGAUGUCAGCAGGGAGUGGAUAUUCUUCUAUGAACUCCCCACCACCACGUGAACUGACUGCAAAGGAGGAGGAAUUCAAGGACAGAAAGGUUCCUCGCCUGGAAUUGCAGACUUGCUGGGUUAAGUCUGAAUUUUGAUAUCUACAUCUUCAGACAUGUUGACCUGUGGUGUCAGCUGUGACAGAAAACUGAGCCCUGAUGACGUGCUGCCAAAGUCUCCAGUAACACAUCAUGCCUGCAGUACCUGCUGAAAACCCACCAAAACACCAGCAAGAAGAGUCAGAGGGAAUUCAGCCUCAUUCCAGUCCUAGCUGUGAAACAAGCAGGCAAGAAGACAACCCUGCCUGUCCCAGCACACAGCUCUAUGCAUGUAUGGAAAGAACACUAAGUAAAGCCAUGAAAAAGGCUUCCCCAAGCAGUAGUGGUGGCUCAGCGGCUGUGCUGUUGGAAGUUUGAUGACAGUUGUCAGUGACCGUCAUGCCUGAGUGGGCCAGCUGAAGGUGCAGGGAGGACACGCUGAGGGCAUUGGCAAGGCAGCACAGAAGUGAAUAUGACCUAACUAUCCACAUGGAGUCUGGCACCAGCACCAGCUUUCAACCUUCCCCAGCCUCUGUCUCAGUAAAUAAGAGAGACAUCUUGGCUCCCUUCUUUCCCAGCACGCACCCUGGUGAUGGAGAAAGUUGAAGCACUAACUCCUGCCAUGGGGAAUGAGCAGAAUGGUAGAAGACCACAGGGACCCGGAGCCACGCAGACACUGAUGGAUUGUGCAAGUCAGGAGAAUAAAGGAGCAGUGCUCUCCAUAUUUAAAGAUGAUGGAGGCUACCAGGAUGAAACAAGUAAGAGAGCUGACCAAAUGCUCCUGAACGCUACUGCCCAGUCAGUUUGAAAAGUGAAGCAUUCUCCUUGGUGUAACACAUCGUUCAGUAAGUGGUUCAACCUCUUGUCAGCUUCAGCCUGCUGGAUUGCUUCUCAGUUCCUGAGAUCACGGUCCUCCUUCAUUGGAUGCGUUAGAAGAAAAGACUUAAUGCCUGGAAACUAGAGCCUCUGUGAAUCUGUGUCCAGAAGCAGGACUUUGUGGACAUCUGUUGGUGGCUGCUUCCAGCACAGACUGGCCGUGGUUCCAAGAGUAACUGCUGAAGUCUCCAGUGCUACAGCAACGAAAGAGCAAAAUUGGGUGCCUGGAGGAAAAGUAAUCUGGUUCAACUGAGCUUUGUCUGCAUAGCAGUUACCAUGGCUUAAUGAAUUACCCUGAGCUUGCAGAACAACGCGUUCUCUUACCUGAAAGGAUGCAACAGAGACCCUGGGUCCCAGCAUGAGACAUGAUACAAAGAUGCAAGGCCCAGCAGAAGAUGACUCGAGUUUGUUGUGAAUUGAGGAGGAAUGUCGCUGAUAAAAUGGAGGUGAACAACUGAACAGCAUCUCUUGGAAAAGAUUUGGAGGCAACUGAAAAUCUCGGAGGCAUUGCAGUCACUGCUGUGGUUUGGGUCCAGGCAGUGGUUAUCUAGACUCAGUAACUGCAGAUCAAUACAUUAUCUGGCUCUUGCGCGUUACUGUGCGGAAUAAUAACAGUUCAUAAUCUGUAUAGCUCAGUUUCUAUCUUGUGGCUCUAAAAAUACAGCUUUCUGCUCACUAAAUGCUGUCAUUGCUGUCUAGCUGUCAGAGUAGUUUGUCUGCUACUGGAGUGGGAUACAUGCAGGAAUGUUAUUAAAAAUCUGGUAUCUUCAAAGAGAAACAUGGAACAAAGGCAGUGACAGUCGUAAGCAUUUGAUUCUUUGAAUACAGCUUUCACAAAUAAACCUCUCAAACACCAUUUUGCUGCAAAAUUGUAAACUGUCAUGAAGUGUGAACUUCACAUCUUGAAGUAAUAAAAGGAAGAGAAAAGGAGCUAAUUGGAUCCAGCAGGGCACGUUAGGUAAAAUACAGGUUAUGUUUAAACAUUUUAAUGUAAUGAUUCCUAUUUAUCCAAGCCUUUAAGUACGUACUCUAGCCCGAUGUGGGCCAGCAGGGCUGUUACAACACACUUGAAGCUGUUUGUUUUUUCUGCCUGGGUGAUGCUUUUAUAAGUAUCUCUUGGGGCUAUAAGUAAAGAUAGAGAGGCCGUUAUAUUCUAAUUGAUAGUUGCUGGGUACCUAAACCACUUAUAAAACCAUCUGAGUCUCAGAAGGGGAUUCCCUGCUUGCUAGAGCAGACUAGGGAGCCCUGCUCUGUAUGUGGGCUGAGUGCCCUGUGCUCUGCCCAAGGUAACAGCUUCAGGAAAUUGAGCUUGAAUUUGUUCAGAGCUGCCUGGAUUAAAACAGUUUUGAGGAGAAAUAUGUCUUCAGGAAGUGUGCAGCUAGAAAAUGGCCUUUGUGGACACUUGUAGCCUUUCUUCAUGGUUUCAAGCUUGAAAAGAAGCGUCCAGUGUUGUUUUAGUCCGUGUAUAUCUUGGCUUCAUUAUUAAUACUAGAUGUAAGCCUGUCAGCCUAGUGAGGAGGGUUUAGUAAAAAAAAAAAAAAUAACCAUGAAGAUUCUGUAUUUUCCUGUGAACUCACUUUGUGAUCAGCAUGCUUUACCUCACUGUGUGUUGUAGUGAUUUGUGAACAUUGGGCUUGCUUGUUGGACAAAGGCAUGUCAAUUUUUGAUGGACAAAGUGAGAACUGAGCAGGGUUAGGGCAGUCGCUGUACAGAGCAUUUAGGCUGCCUGGCAGGGCAAUGGAUUGAAGUUGCAGGGCUUGGUCCUGCUCCAGUGAAGCCCCCAGCCCAAGGGGGGAGCAGCCAGAGCACACUGCUGUCAUGCUUCUCCAUGAGCAGAGCUGCUAACCCACAGUGUUACCAGGAGGAAGAAAAAUGACUGUCUGAUGUAUAACUGUAACCUCGCUGACUAGAAACCACGCUAUCAGCCUGUCCCAUUUGCUCUGUAUUUUCCUGAUUGCUUUAUUUAGUGAUGUUUAGUAUUCUUCAUUCCUCUGCCAUCUGAUCUGUGGGGUGAUUAUAGCAGCUAUCGAAAGCGAGGAUUUUCUCUUAGAAGCACUAUCGAGGCCAGCACUGGCUUGAUGUGGCAGAAGCAAUAAGCUCUGCAUCUGCUGGUGCACCAUGAGAACUCUUAUCAAUUUGCCUGUCACUUGCAGGUUUGCGCUGGUUCUCAGCCCUGCGGCGUGUGCUGGUAAUAGCAAAGUAAUGACAGAGAGAGCUCUGCUUUCUCUACUGGGUGAGGGGGUUCUGCUGUAGCUUUUUUUCCCCCUCUGUAUUUCUCUCCAUGCUUUUUCUUGUUAUCUGUGCAGCUCUCAGAGCAGGAACCAUCUUUGAACUCAACACAGAAUGGUGGGCAUAGGCUCAGGCCUUCUUAGAAGAAGUCGUGUCCCACUUCUGGUUUCACUCCCUAGAAGCUGAGAACUGUUGCUUUCAAUGUUACUGCAUAUGAGAAAAGGGUUUUUUUCCUUAAAUGGAAAGAAAGAGCUGGAGGCCUGGAACUAAAAACUGACCUACUUACAGCUUGCACUGAGCUCACUGAAAAACAGCUAUCUGUAGAAUUGGUCAAUAUUAUUAAAAACAAUACAGAAAACCCCUCUGUCACAGUAGCAUUAGCUGCAGCUUGGAGCUGAGCAUUACGGGUUUCAGUCUAAACAAACUUCCAGACUUCCCCAGAUCAAUCCCUAUUCAAUUUCAUGCUGUUUCACAGUGACUCUUGUAGCUUCCACAGAUUUGUGUGUUUAAAUCCUUUUUCAAAACACAUUAAAAGCUGAGCUCAGCCUGGGUGAAGGCAGGCAGAGUUCCCGCUGGAGAUUUUAGGAAGUACAUUGCUUUGGCUUACAGGCCUGUCUGCAUGAAAGUGCUGCUAAGUGUUCUGGCUUGAUGCUUGUAAUGCU